CCCUUAGAUGUCCUGGGCCGCACGCGCGCUACACUGAUGCGUUCAACGAGUUUAUAACCUUGUCCGGAAGGACCGGGUAAUCUUGAAAUGCGCAUCGUGAUAGGGAUAGAUUAUUGCAACUAUUAAUCUUGAACGAGGAAUUCCUAGUAAACGCGAGUCAUCAGCUCGCAUUGAUUACGUCCCUGCCCUUUGUACACACCGCCCGUCGCACCUACCGAUUGAAUGAUUCGGUGAAGCUUUCGGACCGUACCACUAGCUUCGGCUUGUGGCGUGGGAAGUUAUCUAAACCUCAUCAUUUAGAGGAAGGUGAAGUCGUAACAAGGUUUCCGUAGGUGAACCUGCGGAAGGAUCA
rnacentral:rRNA from 1 species